rnacentral:lncRNA from 1 species
CUGCAUGUGGCUGCCAUAGAAGCUUUCACAGAAGGGAAGUUGACACUGAGGUCGUGUGUGAGUGCUCUUCACCGUCUUCAACCGCGACUUAACUAGAGAUGAAACUAAAGCUUAAUCAAGGAUUGUUAAUCAGUGGAGGUUAAUUCAUGUCAUGUGUUAACUUUGCUUGUUUCUCUAUAUAUCUGGGUUUGAGGGUUUUGAUCUUCAAGUACUUUCUCUCUCUCUCUUUUUAAUUUGGUUUUCGUGUUUGAGAUUGUUCAUUUUCCUUGUCGAUUUAUAGGGUUAAUUCAUUGACAUGAGUGGCUAAGACCUCCUUAAUUUGUGAUCUCAUAUUUAUGUACAAAAGAGAGAAGAAGUGUGUUUUGUUCUUGAAUAUGAAUGAAUGAUUCUCCC